rnacentral:tRNA from 1 species
GGGGCAUUAGCUCAGCUGGGAGAGCGCCACACUGGCAGUGUGGAGGUCAGCGGUUCGAUCCCGCUAUGCUCCA